CUCUGGUUUUUUAAAGUGACAGUAAUCUCAGAAGCUAAACCUCAAAAAUGAAUUCAAGUACCCUAACUAUUAACAAAAAUGUAGCUUAUUUGUACACCACUCAGC